rnacentral:rRNA from 1 species
UGAGGAAUAUUAGUCAAUGGGCGGGAGCCUGAACCAGCCAAGUCGCGUGAGGGAAGACGGUCCUAUGGAUUGUAAACCUCUUUUGUCGGGGAGCAAAGAGGCCACGUGUGGUCAAAAGCGAGAGUACCCGAAGAAAAAGCAUCGGCUAACUCCGUGCC